AUCAAACCAUGAGGAGUAACACUAGUAUAAGACCAGCCAUUUGUCCUCAUUUGCAGAAAGGGUUCGAAACCCUUGGAUUUCAUGCCAUUUCUUAGGCAUAAACAGUGCCACACCAUGUCGUUUCAUUGCCACUUAUAGCAUCCCAAGUUGAUCCAUUUCAUUGUUUGCUCCUUUUAUUUUAGAUAGAUGCAUACCUUGCCCAAUGUGGUGUCUGAUCUUAAAUCUGAAAUCUGAGCUCUGAAGGCUGCUGCUUCCAUGAAGUGCAUUGCUCAGCAGCGAUCGAUGAUCUCUGAUUUCACAUGUGAGUGAUUUUUUUUCCUUUUGAAAGAAAGAUGUGUGUGAUCAUCUACUCUAUUCUUUUUUUGUUUUUGCAAACUUUUGUUCAUGGAGUACUAACAAAUUCUUGCACAAAGUUCAUGUGUUGUGGAUACGCAGCUGGUACAUGUUCUACUGUGCAGACAUGAAGACCAGUCGAAGAAGUUGUGCCUGUGGCUGCAAUUGAGAAUCAAUCCAAAUUAUAGAAAACAAUUCCUAGCUAGAGGCAAAUUCAGAACUAUUUGCAAUUCCAGAACCACAAGCAUGGACCAGUGGUAGUUCUCCAAGUAAAAGUUAGGAGCUAGUUAUGGUGGCACUGAUUCUUCAGUUUCUUCUAUUGAUCUAGCAAGUUUUAUGGCAGAAGAAAAGCUAGUGCAGACCUCCAAGCCAUGAAAACAUUUAUCAUCAAGCGAACUGAAGAUUCUGUUCUUUUUUCUUUUCUUAGGAUGUGCAGGGGAGAUUAUUCAGAUAGUGGAGCAGGUUCAAGUAGCCCUUGGAAACUCAACACAGCUUCUUGUCAAGAACAAAUGAACAAUGAAUGGCAGAUCCAAUCUUCAAUGGAGAAUAUGGACCACAGAAUUGGGCUAUCUUCUGGGCUAGCUAUAUGCAUAUUAGAAUAGAUGCAAUCAUGCAAGUGUGCCACUAGUAGUUUUCUGAAGGAGAGAUUAGGUAGUACUUUAGCAUGUAAUGGUCCUACUGCAUAAUGAAGCACUCAACUUGCAUGAAAACAAUGCUAAGUCCAGCAGACCUUGCCAAGUUCUCUCCUCAUCCUCAUUAGGUAUUUGCCUUUGCUUGUGUGCAUGAACAUCCUAAGUUUUUAUAUUUGCUUGAGAAUCCUGCAACCGAGAUUAGUUUGGAAUUUAGUUGAGCCCAGUCGCUGUCAUGGCCUCAUCGAGGAAAGAAAGAUAAGAG
rnacentral:lncRNA from 1 species